rnacentral:lncRNA from 1 species
UAUUAUUGAAGAUAAUAUAAUUAUAGGAGGGUUGAUAGGACUGUUUUGGUGUAACAAGAUUGCGAUCCUACCCUACCUCGACACGCGCAUCAGAGCAGGAUAGACAGAGAGUGUACACACAGCAUUCCAUAAGGUCCGCCCUUAGUGCUCCUACCUCUAGGCUCUAGGGAUCCGUUCCCAGCCCGUCCUCGCCAACUACGAUCGCGCUAAUCAAGUUAACGAAGCUGGAGUGAGCCAGCCAAGUCAAGCCGGAGCUUUAAGGAGAGCUCUUAUUGUAUUGAUCAUCAUCUUUUAACCCACAGUGAUCCAUCCGCAUUUCUUAUGUCUGUUAGCACGUCAUAUGGCGUGACAUGCAGGUUCCGAGCCGCCGGUUCCUUCGGCGGUCCCUGCCCUUUGCCGAAGGCUCUGUCAAGAGCUCCGUAGCACCCGUUCGGUGCUACAGCAGACUUUCAGAUAAGUUGACAGCUCUCUUUACCUGGCGACGUGGUCUGCCUGAUCUGGGUCAGGAUAGUUGGAAAUGGAGCAGUCUAGGCGAAGUCGUUGGGGAUUGCCCUCCGCUAUCGAUAUGACCAAUGGAACUGUCCCGCCACCGCCUAUUGCCCUGAAUAACAAUGAUCAAUUGAUAAAUAUGAACAAUCCCUCAUCCGCUGUUCCGAUUCCUGCAGUGGAACACAUCGCGGGUCGCGCCACCGGGACGACCGCCGGAACAACGANN